rnacentral:lncRNA from 1 species
GAUUCACAAUAGCCCUCACCUACAGCCGUUGUAAGGGACGCGUAGGAUGGUGAGUCACCGGUGCCUAGUGAUUGGUAGCAAGAAGAGAUGUGCAUAUUGUGAGCAGCAUGAAAAUUUUCGAAUUUCUACUCAAAAACUAUACUCCAGUAGAAGCAGCGUCUGUAUCAACGAGAGUGUGCUGACCAGAGUGCGUAGUAUUCACCACAACUUGCGCAGUAACAUGGGCUGAAGUGCCUGAUGAACCGUUUGACGAAUCUGCAGCUGUUUCAAAUGGUAUGACCAACCUGGAUAGGUUGCACUUGGAGGCUGUUAGGACUAGAAGGAUCUGGACUUGUGACUACAGUGAUGAGUUGCUGACCCCUAGUCGAUUGAGUCUGAGCCGCGCUCCCACUGCCACUGGAGCUUGAGGUGGUUACAACGACUACACCAGACUUAGAAUCUACUCCCACCCCGCUCGUACCGUCCCCGCCACCACCAGCCCCAGCGGACGUAGCAAGAGCAUACUGGGCUCCUGUCGUAGUCAUGGUGAUUACACCCUCCACUCUCUCCGCAGCCACCGAAUCACCACCUCCGGCUCCUCGCUUCUGAAGGGAUGUAUCUGUGACAAAAACACACACAUACGUUGUAAGCGCUAUUUAACUGAAUAUCAAUAACGUCUUCACCGGUGUUCGGGGGGUGAGAGGAACAAUAUUCCAAGAAACAGUGUCAAGAAUUUCAUAUCUGAUGAAUAAAAUAAAAUGUUCAAAUAUUGGUGUGAUACUGGCUCAAGUUACAUGUAAUAAAUGGAUAAAAUAAACAUUCGAUGCCUGGAAUUAUGUACGAGAGAUGAAAUUGUGACUAAUAUAAGUAUUUCCUUGUGUAAUCUAAUGUAAACAAGAAAAGACGCAUUAUUUAGUCUUGAAAAACUAUCAUAGGAUGUCUAGUAACGAAAAAAUUCGAAAUACCCAAAGAAUUCCAGGAUUUAUAGUCCAAAAUUUCCCAUUUCAAGCUGAAAGAAAAAUCGAUAUAUUUAUUCUAAUCACUAUCUAGCUUUAAUGUAAAAUUGACUGUAAAAUUGUUUUGUUUAUCACACUUUUAACGCAUCGGAAUUUGAAACAAGGUAAAAGCGGCAUGAUAAAAAUAAGAAAACUGCAGUGAAAUUUAUCAGGAUAUCAACUAUAUCAGAUUUCUUGACACUAUGACUAUGUCAGACUGAUUGACCAACCAAAUAUCACUCGAUUAAGUCAAGUUUGUGCAUUUUUCAGGUAUCCUAAAAUAGAAUGAAGUUGAAGCUGGUAACAGUAAAAUAAUGAUAUAUUGAAAAUAAUAAUCAAUAUUCAAUUCAAUAACGACUUUGCAGGUGGUUGAAAUUUUAGAAUGCGGUUUUUUUUUGCUUUUUUAUGCAGUUACACUGAAUUUCAGUCACUUCUGACCCUCUGAAAAAUGUAGAAUAAUGACGUUUCCUAAAAAUACAUUGUUGCGUUAUUGUUACCAACUUAAACCUCAUAAAAUAGAGGCAUAUUACGCAUUGUAAUGUCAAAACUGUGUAUUUGCAACUAUGAAUUUUCAUGAAUUUUCAAUAUUAUUGAUUUUAAAAAGA